rnacentral:rRNA from 1 species
GUCCACGCCGUAAACUAUGAUUACUCGUUUUCAGCGAUAUACUGUUGGAGACUAAGCGAAAGUGAUAAGUAAUCCACCUGGGGAGUACGAUCGCAAGGUUGAAACUCAAAGGAAUUGACGGGGGCCCGCACAAGCGGUGGAGCAUGUGGUUUAAUUCGAUGAUACGCGAGGAACCUUACCAGGGCUUAAAUGCAGAACGCAUGAAGUGGAAACAUUUCAGUCUUCGGACGGUCUGCAAGGUGCUGCAUGGCUGUCGU